AACAGCUCCAGCACCAAUAAAGAGGCAUCUCCUUGCCCAGGCUUCUUGGUGGUCCUUCUUCCUGACCCCACUAUCUGGGGGCACCAGGGAAAAAGGGGGGUGAACAGAGCUUUGCUGAAAGGGCCCCUACAGCCCACCACUUGAUCUUCCCUGGACCCAGGACCAGAAAGGAAUUGAUAUCAUGGCUGACAAAGGGAGGUCCUCCCUGUCCAGCCACUUGGCCAUGGGCUGAUUUCUUCCAUCCCUGCUUCUCUUCCUUUCAUCAAAUUCAGCUGAUACUUAAGGCACCUAAUAGGUACUAAGCAGGCACCAUCAGGGCACAGAUGCUUAGGUGGUACAGAGCUAUCCAGACGCCCUGGGGACAGACCAGCACACCAGGACCUCCCUGGGGAAGCAGCAGUGUCACAGAGAUGGUCGGACACAAGCAAGGAGUAGCUGAGGGAGGAAGGAGAAUGAGCCUGCGUUCUGAUGGUUCCUCCUGCGUCUGAGAUUUUCAAAUGCUGCUCCCCCUGGUGGCCUCUCAUUGCCCUGCAACUCAGGCCACGUGAUUUCGGGGAAACGGACCUCCCAGGAGGAGAAGUGAAACUUAGGGAGGGGACUGUAGAAACAGGGCGGAGUUACAGGAAGCUUCCCAGCCUGGAGCUGAGCUGAGCUCAGCUGAGCCCUGUAGCAGCCUGCACAGCCGCUCAGGGUUGGUUGGUUCUACUUAUGCUGCCUGCUGCUCUUAUUCCCAGGAUGGCAUCGGGCCGGGCACGCUGCACCCGAAAGCUCCGGAACUGGGUGGUGGAGCAAGUGGAGAGUGGACAGUUCCCAGGGGUGUGCUGGGAUGAUGAAGCUAAGACUAUGUUCCGGAUUCCCUGGAAGCAUGCAGGCAAGCAGGACUUCCGGGAGGACCAGGAUGCUGCCUUCUUCAAGGCCUGGGCAAUAUUUAAGGGAAAGUACAAGGAGGGAGACACAGAAGGCCCCGCUAUCUGGAAGACUCGUCUACGCUGUGCUCUCAACAAGAGCCCUGAAUUUGAGGAGGUUCCUGAGAAUAGCCAUAGGGAUGGGGCUGAGCCCUACAAGGUGUAUCGGCUGCUGCCACCAGGAACCCUCCUCGCCGCACCAGCAACACAGAAAUCGCCCGCAAAGAGACACCACAGCUCAGUGUCCCCUAAGAGGGAGGAGGAUGAGGGUACCACAAAGAGCUGUAUACUCAGUCCUGCCUUGCUUCAGGACUCCCUUGAAAACGAGAAGGUAGAGGCCAAUGGAGCAGCAGGCCAUUCAGACUCUGGAUGCAGCAGCAGCUGCAGCAACAGCAACAGCCCUGAGCCUCAGGAAGGUACCACCUCUGCGCCUCUCGUCAUCCCCCACGCCACACCCUCUGGCCCUGGGACUCCAGUCCCACUCCGAAAUGAGUGCCUUUUCUCCCUUCCAGGUGCAGACACAAAUGAGGCCCCUUUCCAAGGAGAUCCGGUGUCUCCGGAGCUUCUGCCCCCUCCAGGCUCAGACUACUCCCUGAUGCUCACCUUCAUCUACGAUGGUCACGUGGUGGGCGAGGCCCAAGUGCAGAGCCUGGACUGCCGCCUGGUGGCCGAGCCCUCCAGCUCCCACUGCAGCAUGGAGCAAGUGGUAUUUCCCAAGCCCAGCCCGCAAGGACCCACCCAGCGCCUGCUGAGCCAGCUCGAGAGAGGUGUCAUGGUGGCUAGCAACCCCAGAGGCCUCUUUGUUCAGAACCUUUGCCCCAUCAGCAUCUCCUACAGUGCGCCCGAGUUCCCACCUGGUCCACGCCCGCAUACGCUGCGCAGCAACGAGUAUGUGGAGCUCUUCAAAACCGCCCACUUCUGCAGAGCAGAUCCACCAUCACAGUCCAUGGAUGGCACCCUGCACUUGCUGGUGCACAUCCUGUGAGGCCCUGUGCUCAGCCGUGGCAGCUGCCUGGCAGCCUUCCUUCCGCAGUCCAUGCCGCGGAAGACGAGGCUCAGGUGGAGUCCAGCACAAGAGCAUCACAGCUCAGAGAGCACCAUCACAUGGACGUAUACAGUAAUCAUGGGAAGGUGCACCUCGUGGGCCUCUCCUACACUCACGCACACACGCCCACACAUUCAGGAGAGCUGACACGUGUCACACACUCUGGCCCUACCACACUCCGGGCGUCCCCUCAAAUUACCCCUUUCCCAUCCACACUUGGAAUUUCAUUUCCUGCCUCCAUUCAACUCUAAAUCUGGCCUUGGAAGUGGGGCCAGGAGUACAGGGACACAGAGCUUGAGUGUUUCCUGGGCCAUGGGUGCCCUGACACAGGCAAGAUAGUAUGAGCAGGCAACCAAGGUGUGCGAACAUGUGUGUGAGCAGCCAAGGCUGCUGCUGAGAAGACGCUAAACUCCCAGCAGUGAACAUGUCAGGUGGUGUAGAGUCGGCUACCGCUAAGUACUUCCUGCUGGAGGAAGGAGUACUUUUUCCUAUCUGCACAUGGGCGAGUACCACUUAGUCCUAGCAUUUCUCCUGCACAAGGCAGCAGGCGUGUGACCCUGUAGCUCCUGUUCUGGCCUUCAUCUCCAGGUGGCCCCACUGCCACCUCUCUUUCUCCAUUAUGGGUUCUUCCCUGUUCCCUCCCUCCCUGCCUAUGGCCCUCUCCCUUCUCUUUUUAUUCUUCCAACUCUUACCUUCUCUCUUUCAGACUUGGAGAGGUACUUCCGGGGCCUGGGCCCCCCACCCAAGUUCCAGGUGACACUGAAUUUCUUAGAGGAGGACCCUGACCCCAGCCACACCCCACAGAGUCUUAUCUCAGUUCAGAUGGAGCAGGCCUUCGCUCGGCAUUUACUGGCAGAGCG